AACGAACGCUGGCGGCAGGCUUAACACAUGCAAGUCGAACGCAUCGCAAGAUGAGUGGCAGACGGGUGAGUAACGCGUGGGAACAUACCCUUUUCUACGGAAUAGCUCUGGGAAACUGGAAUUAAUACCGUAUACGCCCUACGGGGGAAAGAUUUAUCGGGGAAGGAUUGGCCCGCGUUGGAUUAGCUAGUUGGGGGGGUAAAGGCCUACCAAGGCGACGAUCCAUAGCUGGUCUGAGAGGAUGAUCAGCCACAUUGGGACUGAGACACGGCCCAAACUCCUACGGGAGGCAGCAGUGGGGAAUAUUGGACAAUGGGCGCAAGCUUGAUCCAGCCAUGCCGCGUGAGUGAUGAAGGCCUUAGGGUUGUAAAGCUCUUUCACCGAUGAAGAUAAUGACGGUAGUCGGAGAAGAAGCCCCGGCUAACUUCGUGCCAGCCGCCGCCGUAAGAC
rnacentral:rRNA from 1 species